GAUGCUAUUUCUUCCCAGCUCCAGCAGCAGCCCCUGCUCCUCCCUCCGCCUGGCCUGCGCCCCCUUCUCCUUGUGCCUGCCCAUCACCUGCGGUCCCUUCAGCAUCCCCUGCUGGGUCCUUGGCAUUCACCAAAUUCUGGCUUAAAACCAAGCCGAUGACGCACAACACAAGCAAGCUGAUUGUGAAUUUCAUCUUAGGCCGUUGUUUGCGAC
rnacentral:misc_RNA from 1 species